CGAAUGCUGACAUAAGUAACGAUAAAGCGGGUGAAAAGCCCGCUCGCCGGAAGACCAAGGGUUCCUGUCCAACGUUAAUCGGGGCAGGGUGAGUCGACCCCUAAGGCGAGGCCGAAAGGCGUAGUCGAUGGGAAACAGGUUAAUAUUCCUGUACUUGGUGUUACUGCGAAGGGGGGACGGAGAAGGCUAUGUUGGCCGGGCGACGGUUGUCCCGGUUUAAGCGUGUAGGCUGGUUUUCCAGGCAAAUCCGGAAAAUCAAGGCUGAGGCGUGAUGACGAGGCACUACGGUGCUGAAGCAACAAAUGCCCUGCUUCCAGGAAAAGCCUCUAAGCAUCAGGUAACAUCAAAUCGUACCCCAAACCGACACAGGUGGUCAGGUAGAGAAUACCAA
rnacentral:rRNA from 1 species